rnacentral:rRNA from 1 species
UACGUAGGGUGCAAGCGUUGUCCGGAAUUAUUGGGCGUAAAGAGCUCGUAGGCGGUUUGUCGCGUCGACUGUGAAAACCCGAGGCUUAACCUCGGGCCUGCAGUCGAUACGGGCAGACUAGAGUUCGGUAGGGGAGACUGGAAUUCCUGGUGUAGCGGUGAAAUGCGCAGAUAUCAGGAAGAACACCCGUGGCUAAGGCGGUUCUCUAGUACGGUACUGACGCUGAGACGCGAAAGCGUGGGGAGCGAACAGG